rnacentral:rRNA from 1 species
UGAGGAAUAUUGGUCAAUGGAGGCAACUCUGAACCAGCCAUGCCGCGUGCAGGAUGACGGUCCUAUGGAUUGUAAACUGCUUUUAUACGGGAAGAAAACGAGUUACGUGUAACUAACUGACGGUACCGUAAGAAUAAGGAUCGGCUAACUCCGUG